AGAGUUUGAUCCUGGCUCAGGAUGAACGCUGGCGGCGUGCCUAAUACAUGCAAGUCGAGCGAACGGACGAGAAGCUUGCUUCUCUGAUGUUAGCGGCGGACGGGUGAGUAACACGUGGAUAACCUACCUAUAAGACUGGGAUAACUUCGGGAAACCNGAGCUAAUACCGGAUAAUAUUUUGAACCGCAUGGUUCAAAAGUGAAAGACGGUCUUGCUGUCACUUAUAGAUGGAUCCGCGCUGCAUUAGCUAGUUGGUAAGGUAACGGCUUACCAAGGCAACGAUGCAUAGCCGACCUGAGAGGGUGAUCGGCCACACUGGAACUGAGACACGGUCCAGACUCCUACGGGAGGCAGCAGUAGGGAAUCUUCCGCAAUGGGCGAAAGCCUGACGGAGCAACGCCGCGUGAGUGAUGAAGGUCUUCGGAUCGUAAAACUCUGUUAUUAGGGAAGAACAUAUGUGUAAGUAACUGUGCACAUCUUGACGGUACCUAAUCAGAAAGCCACGGCUAACUACGUGCCAGCAGCCGCGGUAAUACGUAGGUGGCAAGCGUUAUCCGGAAUUAUUGGGCGUAAAGCGCGCGUAGGCGGUUUUUUAAGUCUGAUGUGAAAGCCCACGGCUCAACCGUGGAGGGUCAUUGGAAACUGGAAAACUUGAGUGCAGAAGAGGAAAGUGGAAUUCCAUGUGUAGCGGUGAAAUGCGCAGAGAUAUGGAGGAACACCAGUGGCGAAGGCGACUUUCUGGUCUGUAACUGACGCUGAUGUGCGAAAGCGUGGGGAUCAAACAGGAUUAGAUACCCUGGUAGUCCACGCCGUAAACGAUGAGUGCUAAGUGUUAGGGGGUUUCCGCCCCUUAGUGCUGCAGCUAACGCAUUAAGCACUCCGCCUGGGGAGUACGACCGCAAGGUUGAAACUCAAAGGAAUUGACGGGGACCCGCACAAGCGGUGGAGCAUGUGGUUUAAUUCGAAGCAACGCGAAGAACCUUACCAAAUCUUGACAUCCUUUGACAACUCUAGAGAUAGAGCCUUCCCCUUCGGGGGACAAAGUGACAGGUGGUGCAUGGUUGUCGUCAGCUCGUGUCGUGAGAUGUUGGGUUAAGUCCCGCAACGAGCGCAACCCUUAAGCUUAGUUGCCAUCAUUAAGUUGGGCACUCUAAGUUGACUGCCGGUGACAAACCGGAGGAAGGUGGGGAUGACGUCAAAUCAUCAUGCCCCUUAUGAUUUGGGCUACACACGUGCUACAAUGGACAAUACAAAGGGCAGCGAAACCGCGAGGUCAAGCAAAUCCCAUAAAGUUGUUCUCAGUUCGGAUUGUAGUCUGCAACUCGACUACAUGAAGCUGGAAUCGCUAGUAAUCGUAGAUCAGCAUGCUACGGUGAAUACGUUCCCGGGUCUUGUACACACCGCCCGUCACACCACGAGAGUUUGUAACACCCGAAGCCGGUGGAGUAACCUUUUAGGAGCUAGCCGUCGAAGGUGGGACAAAUGAUUGGGGUGAAGUCGUAACAAGGUAGCCGUAUCGGAAGGUGCGGCUGGAUCACCU
rnacentral:rRNA from 1 species